AUUGUUGAGACGUGAGUUCGUGAGCCUUUGUUAUCGUUGUCGUAAUCUCCGCAUUAUCAACGUCGAGAGAACCUAUUGAUGUUCCACCUCUUUGUUCAUGUCUUCUUCCAACAUCAAUGUGUUUUGUUUCUCUAUAACCAAACUGCCAUGAUCUGGAAAGAAAAGAAAGGAGAAGAAUAAAAAUUGAGAAGAUCGUGAAAGAGAAAAAGAGAAGGAAGCGGAGAUGAAGGCGGAAACAUGACGGAGGAUAAAUCAUCACCACCACGAAGGAGAAACAGUGGGAAAGUGAUUCAUGUUCUUAACACUAAUCAGAAGUAUUAAGUGAAGAAGACCGAACCAGAUUGAAGCUUGGCGAAGCAAAGAAAGAAGAAGAAGAGAAAAGAGGGAGGAAGAACAGUUUCAAGAUGGGGUUUUGUAAGGAUCGUUCCAGUGGCAUCAGAGAGACUCAAGAACCCCUAAAUGACAGUUCGAGAUGGUUUGUUGAUGACAACGUUUGGAGCUUUUAAUGAAGUCCGAUCAUGCUGUAAAUUUGUGGAGUUAUUCAUGAUACUUCUAUCUACAUAUUCAACGGUGAGAUCACGUUUCUAACGGAGAUUUCAUGACUCAUGGAUUCAGUUCUUAGUCGAGGGAGAACCAAGUUAAAGCUUAUGAGCAUGUAGUUGUGGUAAAGGUUGAGAAAGGAGAAGUGAAUCUUCAUCUUCAAUUAGGCUAAGGUUAAUAAACGUGAGGAGUUAUGUGCAAUAUUUUAUUCAUGUGUAAAGUUUAAAGAAAACGUUUUGGCAAUAUUAGAUGAAUAAUAUGCCGUCUUGUCCUAUAAGGCAGGGCGGGUGUUACAAUAAUAAUCUCAUGAGAAUGAUCAUAGGCUUCAUUCUCUUGCUGGCUCUCAUUAGCAACAUCAUAUCGGUGUUACAAAACUUGAACCCGGCGAUGAAGUUUGAUCGCGAGAGAUAGACAAAGCUAGCAGAUUGAUCAAAGCACUCGUUUUUACUUUGCUUUUAUUUAUUUCUAUUUUCUUCCGAAAUUUUGAUGUAUAUAUGUGUGUGUAUGUAAGACCAAGAGGUAUGUCUU